AAUAAAGUAUAAGAGGUCCCGCCUGCCCAGUGAUUAAUUUUAACGGCCGCGGUAUCAUGACCGUGCAAAGGUAGCGUAAUCACUUGUCUUUUAAAUAAAGACCUGUAUGAAAGGCAAAACGAAAACUUAACUGUCUCUUUAAUCCAAUCAGUAAAAUUAAUCUUCCCGUGCAGAAACGGGGAUAAUUAUAUAAGACGAGAAGACCCUAUGGAGCUUUAAAUACAAGAUUAAUUAUACUUUUACCACUAACCAAUAGGUAAACAAUAUAGACAUAUAAAGAUAAUCUAAGUUUUCGGUUGGGGCGACCACGGAAGAAAAAAUAUCCUCCGAGAUAGACAAUUUAGAAUUACAUUUCAAAACCUAAAACAUUUGUUAUAAAUGACCCACUAAGUGAUCAACGAACCAAGUUACCCUAGGGAUAACAGCGCAAUCCUUUCUAAGAGUUCCUAUCGACGAAUGGGUUUACGACCUCGAUGUUGGAUCAGGACAUCCUAAUGGUGCAGCCGCUAUUAAAGGUUCGUUUGUUCAACGAUUAAAGUCCU
rnacentral:rRNA from 1 species